rnacentral:rRNA from 1 species
GACGAACGCUGGCGGCGUGCCUAAUACAUGCAAGUCGAGCGGACGAAUCGAAAGCUUGCUUUUGAUUCGUUAGCGGCGGACGGGUGAGUAACACGUGGGCAACCUGCCCUGUAGACGGGGAUAACACCGAGAAAUCGGUGCUAAUACCGGGUAACACGAAAUGUCGCAUGACGUUUCGUUGAAAGACGGCGCAAGCUGUCGCUACAGGAUGGGCCCGCGGCGCAUUAGCUAGUUGGUGAGGUAACGGCUCACCAAGGCGACGAUGCGUAGCCGACCUGAGAGGGUGAUCGGCCACACUGGGACUGAGACACGGCCCAGACUCCUACGGGAGGCAGCAGUAGGGAAUCUUCCGCAAUGGACGAAAGUCUGACGGAGCAACGCCGCGUGAGCGAAGAAGGCCUUCGGGUCGUAAAGCUCUGUUGUUAGGGAAGAACAAGUAACGCAGUAACUGGCGUUACCGUGACGGUACCUAACGAGAAAGCCACGGCUAACUACGUG